UACGGAAGGCAGCAGUGGGGAAUAUUGCACAAUGGGCGCAAGCCUGAUGCAGCCAUGCCGCGUGUAUGAAAAAGGCCUUCGGGUUGUAAAGUACUUUCAGUCGUGAGGAAGGUGUUAAGGUUAAUAACCUUAGCAAUUGACGUUAGCGACAGAAGAAGCACCGGCUAACUCCGUGCCAGCAGCCGCGGUAAUACGGAGGGUGCGAGCGUUAAUCGGAAUUACUGGGCGUAAAGGGCACGCAGGCGGUUAAUUAAGUUGGAUGUGAAAUCCCCGGGCUUAACCUGGGAAUGGCAUUCAAGACUGGUUAGCUAGAGUCUUGUAGAGGGGGUAGAAUUCCAUGUGUAGCGGUGAAAUGCGUAGAGAUGUGGAGGAAUACCGGUGGCGAAGGCGGCCCCUGGGACAAAGGCUGACGCUCAUGUGCGAAAGCGUGGGGAGCAAAC
rnacentral:rRNA from 1 species